rnacentral:rRNA from 1 species
UACGUAGGGCGCGAGCGUUGUCCGGAUUUAUUGGGCGUAAAGAGCUCGUAGGCGGCUUGUCGCGUCGACUGUGAAAGCCCAUGGCUUAACUGUGGGUCUGCGGUGGAUACGGGCAGGCUGGAGGCUGGUAGGGGCAAGCGGAAUUCCUGGUGUAGCGGUGAAAUGCGCAGAUAUCAGGAGGAACACCGGUGGCGAAGGCGGCUUGCUAGGCCAGUUCUGACGCUGAGGAGCGAAAGCGUGGGGAGCGAACAGG